rnacentral:rRNA from 1 species
GUGGAUUAGAUACCCUAGUAGUCCACGCCCUAAACGAUGUCAACUAGUUGUUCGGUAGGGAGACCUAUUGAGUAACGCAGCUAACGCGUGAAGUUGACCGCCUGGGGAGUACGGUCGCAAGAUUAAAACUCAAAGGAAUUGACGGGGACCCGCACAAGCGGUGGAUGAUGUGGAUUAAUUCGAUGCAACGCGAAGAACCUUACCUACCCUUGACAUGUCAGGAAUCCUGCAGAGAUGCGGGAGUGCCUUCGGGAACCUGAGCACAGGUGCUGCACGGUCGUCGUCAGCU